UGAGAACAUGAGUCAGUCCUACGGGGCGCAGCAGUCGCGAAACUCGCAUGGGGGAAAGCCGACGAGGGAUCAGUGCUAGCACUUUGUUUUAGCUGUCUCGUCUAAAAAACAGGAGGAAGUAAGGGGCGGGUAAGACGGGUGCAGCCGCGCGGUAAUACCCGCGCCCCGAGUGGUGGUCGAUAUUAUUGAGCCUAAAACGUUCGUAGCCGGUCUUCUAAAUCCUUGGGUAAAUCGGGCAGCUUAACUGUCCGAAUUCCGGGGAGACUGGGAGACUUGGGACCGGGAGAGGUCAGAGGUACUUCUGGGGUAGGGGUAAAAUCCUGUAAUCCUGGAAGGACCACAGGUGGCGAAGGCGUCUGACUAGAACGGAUCCGACGGUGAGGAACGAAGCCCUGGGGCGCAAACGGGAUUAGAUACCCCGGUAGUCCAGGGUGUAAACGCUGCGGGCUUGGUGUUGGGGGUCCUUAGUGGGCGCCCAGUGCCGGAGAGAAGUUGUUAAGCCUGCUGCUUGGGGAGUAUGUCCGCAAGGAUGAAACUUAAAGGAAUUGGCGGGGGAGCACCGCAACGGGAGGAGCGUGCGGUUCAAUUGGAUUCAACGCCGAAAAACUCACCAGGAGCGACGGAUAUAUGAAGGUCAAGCUGAUGACUUUACCUGAUUUUCCGAGAGGUGGUGCAUGGCCGUCGUCAGUUCGUACCGUAAGGCGUUCUCUUAAGUGAGAUAACGAACGAGACCCUCACCAUUAAUUGCUAGUCCCUUCUCCGGAGGGGGCGCACAUUAAUGGGACCGCUGGCGCUAAGUCAGAGGAAGGAGAGGUCAACGAUAGGUCCGUAUGCCCCGAAUCCCCUGGGCAACACGCGCGCUACAAAGGGUGGGACAAUGGGCUUCGACACCGAAAGGUGAAGACAAUCCUGAGACCCAUCCAUAGUUCGGAUUGGGGGCUGUAACCCGCCCCCAUGAAGCUGGAUUCCGUAGUAAUCGCUUGUCAACAUCAAGCGGUGAAUAUGCCCCUGCUCCUUGCACACACCG
rnacentral:rRNA from 1 species